rnacentral:lncRNA from 1 species
GGGGGAGAGAAAGAGAAGUCUUGGCAAGCUGUGUUAAAAAGCAUCUUAAUUUUUGCCCUUUGCUAGGGGAAGAGUGCUUAUAAGCAUGCUUUGAGGAUCACCUGCAUCUGAAUCCCUUGGGGCAUUUUCUAAAAAUGCCGAUUCCUGGCCCUCAACCUACUGAAUGGCCAUCUCUGGGGCGAGGCCUGCGGUUCCACAUUUGAGCGGGUCCUGCCAAGUUGAGAACGUUACUGAAACAAGUGGCCCCCAGAAGUCGUCCUGGAAAUAAGGAGAUGGAGGGGACUGCUUUUUGUGGAGAAAAGUUUCUUUGGUGCUCGUGCUAAGGCCUGGCCUGGACAUCUGCAGUUUUGAAGAAAGAGCUCAAUCCUUCUGCAUAGCGGAGGUCUAUGGCAUUUUCGAGUUUUUAGGAAAGCCUGUGACUUUAGCUACUCAGGUUUGGGUGCUUCUGGGAUGUGAAGCAGAGGAUCAAGUGGCACGACAUGAAUCAGGAGUAAUGAGACGAAGAGGAGCUGUGGGUGGGCCACAGAAAGUACAGUUUGGAUCCAGUGGUGACCAGUCCCAACCAGAAGGUGCAAGCACUCAGAAGUUCACGGGAGUGAACCAGAAUCCCCGUCAUCCCAGAGAGAGGCCAUCUAAUUGCUGGCAAGUUUCAGCUUGACUCACCAAGGAAUUUGAACUCCAACACUCUGAGACAGUCACAUUCAGCUCUGGAUGAAUGGUUCCCGGAAGUAGGAUUUCCCAAGAAGGUAUUGGGAGAGGAA